UACGUAGGGUGCGAGCGUUAAUCGGAAUUACUGGGCGUAAAGCGUGCGUAGGUGGUUCGUUGUGUCUGUGGUGAAAGCCCCGGGCUUAACCUGGGAAUGGCCAUGGAAACUGGCGAGCUGGAGUGUGGCAGAGGGGGGUGGAAUUCCGCGUGUAGCAGUGAAAUGCGUAGAGAUGCGGAGGAACACCGAUGGCGAAGGCAGCCCCCCUGGGCUAACACUGACGCUGAGGCACGAAAGCGUGGGGAGCAAACAGG
rnacentral:rRNA from 1 species